rnacentral:lncRNA from 1 species
UUGGUGAAGGCUUCUAUUUGGUCAACUUGCUCUGUCUUUAUAGCCAAUUUAUAUUGAUAAGGGUUUCUCUCUAGAUAUCAUCUGCGGUAUUCCUGAGUCAGAAGAGAGGAAAGGUGAUACUGCCACUUCCUGUAUGUAUUUCCUUUUAGAUGUGGGAUGUGGUAGGCAGCAUGUUCCCUCCCCAGACUUAUCCCCGAGAGCUGUCUAUGCCCUAAUCCCUGCAACCUGUGAACAUGUUAUGUUAGAUGGCAAAGGGGACUUUGCAGAUGUAAUUAAAGUUACUGACCAUACAAUAAGGAGAUUAUUCUGGAUUAUCCAAGUAGGCCCAAUCUAAUUACAUAAAGCCUUCAAAGCAGAGAGCUCUCACCAACUGGAGGCAGAAGAGAUGCAGCAGCAGCAGUGAGAGAAAUUCAAAGCACAGGGACUGAAUGGGAAGUUUCUGGUUUGAUGUUGGAGGGAGCAGCAUGAUGAGGAAUUUGCACAGCCUUAAGAGGCUGAGGGAGGCUCCUGGCUAACAGCUAGCCAGGAAAUAUGAUCCUUAGCCUUGCAGUCAUGAAAACUGAAUUCUUCCAACAACUUGAAUGAGUUAUCCCUCAGAGCCUUCAGAAAAGAGUCCAGUUUGCCAACAAUUUGAUUUCAGUCUGUGAAACCUGGACCAGAGGAACCAGCUGAAUUCACCAGACUUCUGACCCACAGAACUAUGAGAUAAUACAUUGAUGUUGUUUAAAGGAGCUAAAUUUGCAGUAAUUUGUUAUGGCAACAGUAGAAAACUGACACAUGGAGGUAUUGAUAUAGUCAUGAUUUUGAUGACUAACUAGUUUGUGAUCUGGAUAUGAAGUGUCACCAUGCCACAGUGCCUGAGUCUGCUUCAGAUUCUUCUUCUUCUUGGCCAUCUUUAUUGGGGAAAUAAGGAUGUGAAAUAAGUAUAGUCAAUGCCCUUUUUGAGUACCACUGGUUAAUUAAGUUUGUUAUUUUCAAGUGUAUGUGCUUUAAUUCACAUGGCAUUAAAAGAAUCGGUAGUAUAGUUUCA